UAGGGAAUCUUCUGCAAUGGACGAAAGUCUGACCGAGCAACGCCGCGUGAGUGAAGAAGGUUUUCGGAUCGUAAAACUCUGUUGUUAGAGAAGAACAAGGACGUUAGUAACUGAACGUCCCCUGACGGUAUCUAACCAGAAAGCCACGGCUAACUACUUGACAGCAGCCGCGGUAAUACGUAGGUGGCAAGCGUUGUCCGGAUUUAUUGGGCGUAAAGCGAGCGCAGGCGGUUUCUUAAGUCUGAUGUGAAAGCCCCCGGCUAAAGCGGGGAGGGUCAUUGGAAACUGGGAGACUUGAGUGCAGAAGAGGAGAGUGGAUUUCCAUGUGUAGCGGUGAAAUGCGUAGAUAUAUGGAGGAACACCAGUGGCGAAGGCGGCUCUCUGGUCUGUAACUGACGCUGAGGCUCGAAAGCGUGGGGAGCAAACAGG
rnacentral:rRNA from 1 species